UGGGGAAUAUUGGACAAUGGGGGCAACCCUGAUCCAGCAAUGCCGCGUGUGUGAAGAAGGUCUUCGGAUUGUAAAGCACUUUCGACGGGGACGAUGAUGACGGUACCCGUAGAAGAAGCCCCGGCUAACUUCGUGCCAGCAGCCGCGGUAAUACGAAGGGGGCUAGCGUUGCUCGGAAUGACUGGGCGUAAAGGGCGUGUAGGCGGUUUACACAGUCAGAUGUGAAAUCCCCGGGCUUAACCUGGGAGCUGCAUUUGAUACGUGUAGACUAGAGUGUGAGAGAGGGUUGUGGAAUUCCCAGUGUAGAGGUGAAAUUCGUAGAUAUUGGGAAGAACACCGGUGGCGAAGGCGGCAACCUGGCUCAUGACUGACGCUGAGGCGCGAAAGCGUGGGGAGCAAACAGGAUUAGAUACCCUGGUAGUCCACGCCUGUAAACGAUGUGUGCUAGAUGUUGGG
rnacentral:rRNA from 1 species